GGCGCAGGCGGACAGGUCAGUGGAAAGUGGAAUCCCGGGGCUCAACCCCGGAAAGCCUUUCCAUACUGCCUGUCUUGAGUACGUGAGAGGAGAGCGGAAUUCAGGGUGUAGCGGUGAAAUGCUUAGAUAUCCUGAGGAACACCAGUGGCGAAAGCGACUUUCUGGCACGAAACUGACGCUGAGGCUCGAAAGCAUGGGUAGCAACG
rnacentral:rRNA from 1 species